AUGGUGGCGGCAGGGCCUCGGUUGCCUUGCUUCUACGUGGGGAACCCCGGAUCUGGAGCGGCGGCUCCAUUGGCAAGGCACGGCCGGCUAGCAGCCAUGCGGGCAGUGGAUCUGGUGUCCCGGCCGCGUGGGCGGCGGGAUCCGGUGGUCGUUGGCGGCCGGCGGCGGCUUCUGCGACGGUCGGUGCGCGCGAUCUGGUGCCUCCCCUCCUCCCCUGUUCGGCGUGCGGGCCAGCCUGAUCGGGCCGCGCUUCCUCUUGGUCGCUGGUUUUGUACAGGAUGCGUGUUGGGGAACGUAGUAAUUUCAAAAAAAUUCCUACGUGCACACUCCUCGUCAUGUCCGUGA
rnacentral:rRNA from 1 species